rnacentral:rRNA from 1 species
CCUACGGGAGGCAGCAGUGGGGAAUAUUGGGCAAUGGGCGAAAGCCUGACCCAGCAACGCCGCGUGAAGGAAGAAGGCUUUCGGGUUGUAAACUUCUUUUGACAGGGAAGAGCAGAAGACGGUACCUGUCGAAUAAGCCACGGCUAACUACGUGCCAGCAGCCGCGGUAAUACGUAGGUGGCAAGCGUUGUCCGGAUUUACUGGGGGUAAAGGGCGUGUAGCCGGGCUGACAAGUCAGAUGUGAAAUCCGGGGGCUCAACCCCCGAACUGCAUUUGAAACUGUUGGUCUUGAGUAUCGGAGAGGCAGGCGGAAUUCCGAGUGUAGCGGUGAAAUGCGUAGAUAUUAGGAGGAACACCAGUGGCGAAGGCGGCCUGCUGGACGACAACUGACGGUGAGGCGCGAAAGCGUGGGGAGCAAACAGGAUUAGAUACCCCAGUAGUC